CCCUGACAGCUACAUGGUGUGGCUGACACUAGCCAAGACAGGAGAUACCCAUG
ncrna:unclassified sequences Mu-gpT-DE RNA